CAGUCUCGCAGCGAGUGCAGUGAGUCGAACGUUUUGGCGCGACCGGAACGCAUUAUACCGGCGAAUGCAGAUUUUUUCGUCGGAAGAAAAGCGGGGCACUGAAUUUAAAUGCAGCACCGUAGCGCACACAGAUCUAUAUUCGUGAAUUUAUAUACGAAGUACCCAGAGAUUUACGUUAGAGAGAGAGAGAUAACGUUCUCCACGCGCGCGUCCUCGCUCCAUACUUCUGAAAUAUUCAUAACUCAAGAUCAUCCUUAACCCACUAAUUGAUAUUCCGCGCAUCUGGAACUCGCUGCACCAACAGGAAUAAUACGCACCGCUACCGAUGAUAUCCCUUUCAAAGAUGCGCAUCUUGCAUGCGGCUGCAUAUUAAUCCGAAGCAAAUCCAAAACGGACAUUUUAAACAAAUAUACCCUGUCCGUUCGUCCAAAAGUUCAGACAGUGAUUCUAUCCCUCUUUGGCGCUUACGAUGAAUAUUGAUGCGAUGCAAAUCUGACAUUCAAUAUUCGAGCAAUGACCUUGCCAUUCGAGAGAACGUGAGUGAAAUCCUUCUCCAUGUUGUCACGAAAGUGAGAGACCGUGCAAAUAAAAGAAAAAAAAAGCAAGUGAGAGAGAGAGAGAGAGUGAGUGAAGGGGGAGGGGGGAGGGAGAGACCAAGAGGGAACACAAGAAUACGAGGGAGGUACUCGAGUAUGAGCAGAUAACGAAAAAUGUUCCCGCCAUCUGCUCGCGGGACUUUUGGGAGUGAGAGGGACUUGAAAAUCACUUUCACGCCGAUUCCGUGGACGGGCGGUCGCACAUUCAGCCUGAAAAUUUCAUUUUCAUAACUUACACGACGGCAGUUUGUCUCCUGAUGUGUCGCACGGGUAUAUCCCUUUCUCACAAUGACAGAGAACGUCGCUGAGUGGAAACGAAUUUUUAUCGUGCUAUCUGGCGACUCGACAUUUUCUUGGAUUAGAGACGAAUGAACGAAAAGAUCUUGUUUUAACAUAUAAUUUCUCGCAAAAUUUGUAUUCUACGUGAGUGUUGUAUAUAUAAUUUAGGAAUAUGCUAUACACAGCUAGCAAUAUUAUUUCCAUCUGCAAUUAUCUUCGACACCGUUAAUUUACGCGUGGCUUCGAAGAGAAACGAAGAGAUCAAUGUGAGGAUCAUUUAUCCAUUAUCGUAAAUCGAAUUGAAUCAUUACAAUUAGGUCUCUUCCGCGUUACUAACGACGGAGCGAGAACUGAAGUUGACUGCUUUAUAUUCGAAGUCUAACAAUCCCUCCGAUCGUAAUUACUAAAAUCUAUGAAGUUCCUUCUCGAUAAUGGUUCAACUUCUCUGCAUAAAUCAUCGAAUAGAGAUUCCGUCCAAAAUCGAUUGCAGGCGAAAUCAUUUCAUGGAAAGAAAUGCAUAUAGUUAUAUAUAAUAUAAAUAUUUUAUGAAAAAAGAAAAACAAAAAUAAAAAUUAUA